UAGUCCAUGCCGUAAACGAUGAUCACUAGAUGUUGGCGAUAUACUGUCAGUGUUUAAGAGAAAUCAUUAAGUGAUCCACCUGGGGAGUACGUUCGCAAGAAUGAAACUCAAAGGAAUUGACGGGGGCCCGCACAAGCGGAGGAACAUGUGGUUUAAUUCGAUGAUACGCGAGGAACCUUACCAAGGCUUAAAUGUAGAUUGACAGAUUGUGAAAACAAUUUUUUCUCGGACAAUUUACAAGGUGCUGCAUGGUUGUCGUCAGCUCGUGCCGUGAGGUGUCGGGUUAAGUCCCAUAACGAGCGCAACCCCUAUUUUUAGUUGCCAGCGAGUAAUGUCGGGAACUCUAGAAAGACUGCCUGUGUAAACNGAGAGGAAGGUGGGGAUGACGUCAAAUCAUCACGGCCCUUAUGUCUUGGGGCUACACACGUGUUACAAUGGUUACUACAGUGGGAAGCCAUCUGGCAACAGAGAGCAAAAUCCAUAAAAGGUAUCCCAGUUCGGAUCGG
rnacentral:rRNA from 1 species